GUUUAAAUAGCUUACAGUUAGAGCGUGGCGUUGAAGUUGCCAAGGAGAUUAUUUAAUCUUUAAAUA
rnacentral:tRNA from 1 species